ACAUGGAGCUCGAGGAGGAGACGCUUCUGCGCAUGUCCGCGUGUGCACGGCCAGAAACAGACAGAUAGCUGCUCAACUGAGGAAAAACUGGCAAAGACAAAGGACUGAGACACAUUUACAGAACCAGGAGAGACUAUAUUGAGUUUUUACACCGGUUUAUAAUAGCCAAGGUGUUCGAGGACCACCAGGAAGCGGACAGUUUCUUUGACUCUCCAAGCAUCGAAUCCAGUGGAACCGACCCCUCCUGGUCGAUGGAAAUACCUGCAAAUCUCUAGUCUCGUAU